rnacentral:tRNA from 1 species
GGGGGUAUAGCUCCACGAUAGAGCACCUGCUUGGCAUGCAUGAGGUCCAGGGUUCAAUCCCCAGUGCUUCUG